AGAGGGAAGGAGCAAACCGCUUUGAGGAGUCCCUGCAUAAGAGACUAUUGGAUACUGAAGGGCUGUACUGCAGUGUCGGCUCUAGACUUGGCGAGGCCAUAGGUGAAACUCAUACAUGAGACCCCACCGAGAACACCAUUAUUGAAGAAAAAAUAGCAGUUCACUUUGUGUAUAAGAAGCUGUAGAUAUAUUGAUGGUGGAGCUCAGUGGUGUAUCCUGGUUUUGUGCUGCCCUAGGGAGGACAAAACUCAGGCGCCCCUCUCCCCCGCCACCCCCACCCAUCCCUUCCCCCCGCCCCGCCUUCUAAAUACACACACAUUCACUGACAGAUAUGCAUACAUUAGCUAACAGAAACAGACACACUCACUAACAGACACAGUCAGACACACAAACACACUAACAGACACACUCACACUCUCUAACAGACACACUCAAAUUUUUUUUUAAAUUUACCCCCCCAGCCUCCUUACCUUUGCUAAUGCUGGGGGGGGUUCUCUAUCUCCCUGGGGUCUAGUGGGGCUGCCGGUCGGGCUGCUGGGCUGGUUGCUGGGGGGGCAGACGGGCAGCUAGUGAGGG